GGGAGAGCAAUGGGGAAAAAGGCAGGACAGCUGUAACUGAACAAUAAAAAAAUAAAAAAAAUAAUUAAAAAAUAAUAAUAAACCCAUUAUACAUUAACAUAAGUAAUGUUUUCAUGAGAAAUAACUAUAUUUUCCAAAACAAGAAGACAUUUAUUGGGAAGAAAAGUAUUGUUUUAUAGUUUUGUAAAUCUCUUUGAUAUCUGGCCUUAUUAAACAGAUUGGAUUUCAUGUGUACUUUUGCAUUCAGUCUGGUGCUUUGCCCCUUAUCAUGUGACCCUGGAAAACUCCACUGUGCGCUUACGAGAUAAUGACGGUAGGCAGAUACCAGCUUAGUAUUAUUAUGAACAUACUUUCGAUCUCUAGCAUCCCCUAAAGGUAUCGUGUUACCUCCAGAGGUUUCUGGACCGCUGUUCCCAAAAUGUUUAUGUGUGGGGAAAAAGAAACACAAGAGAUACCACCAUUGGGUAAAGGAAAAUUUUCCAUGUGUUUAAUCAGUCCUGGUUGUUCAACCUAGUAAUCAAGCAGGAUAACACCCAGACUCCAGAACCGAAGUAGGCAUAGCUGAAACCUCCAGAGCACUGA